AACGAACGCUGGCGGCAUGCUUAACACAUGCAAGUCGAACGAGACCUUCGGGUUUAGUUGCGCACGGGUGCGUAACGCGGGGGAACCUACCCUUAGGUUCCGAAUAACUCCCUGAGAGGGGUGUUAAUACCGGUUAAUGUCUUCCGACCAAAGAUUUAUCGCUUUUGGGUGGGCCCUCGUCGGAUUAGCUAGUUGGUAGUGUAAAAGCGGGCCAACGCCACGUUCCAGAGCUGGUGUGUGACGAAGCUCAGUCACAAUGGGACUGAGGCACGGCCCACUGUGCUACGCAGGGCAGCGGUAGAGAAUAUUAGACAAGGGGGGCAAGCCUAGUACAGCAGUGUCGCGGAUGUGAGGAAGGGCUUAGGGUUGUAAAGCUCUUUUACCCGGGAUGUUAAUGACGGUACCGGGUGAAUAAGCACCGGCUAACUCCGUG
rnacentral:rRNA from 1 species